GUGCUAACGUCCGUCGUGAAGAGGGAAACAACCCAGACCGCCAGCUAAGGUCCCAAAGUCAUGGUUAAGUGGGAAACGAUGUGGGAAGGCCCAGACAGCCAGGAUGUUGGCUUAGAAGCAGCCAUCAUUUAAAGAAAGCGUAAUAGCUCACUGGUCGAGUCGGCCUGCGCGGAAGAUGUAACGGGGCUAAACCAUGCACCGAAGCUGCGGCAGCGACGCUUAUGCGUUGUUGGGUAGGGGAGCGUUCUGUAAGCCUGUGAAGGUGUGUCGUGAGGCAUGCUGGAGGUAUCAGAAGUGCGAAUGCUGACAUAAGUAACGAUAAAGCGGGUGAAAAGCCCGCUCGCCGGAAGACCAAGGGUUCCUGUCCAACGUUAAUCGGGGCAGGGUGAGUCGACCCCUAAGGCGAGGCCGAAAGGCGUAGUCGAUGGGAAACGGGUUAAUAUUCCCGUACUUGGUGUUACUGCGAAGGGGGGACGGAGAAGGCUAUGUUGGCCGGGCGACGGUUGUCCCGGUUUAAGCGUGUAGGUGUGUGUUCCAGGUAAAUCCGGUUCACUUUAACACUGAGGCGUGAUGACGAGGCACUACGGUGCUGAAGUAACAAAUGCCCUGCUUCCAGGAAAAGCCUCUAAGCAUCAGGUAACAUCAAAUCGUACCCCAAACCGACACAGGUGGUCAGGUAGAGAAUACCAAGGCGCUUGAGAGAACUCGGGUGAAGGAACUAGGCAAAAUGGUGCCGUAACUUCGGGAGAAGGCACGCUGACACGUAGGUGAAGUGAUUUACUCACGGAGCUGAAGUCAGUCGAAGAUACCAGCUGGCUGCAACUGUUUAUUAAAAACACAGCACUGUGCAAACACGAAAGUGGACGUAUACGGUGUGACGCCUGCCCGGUGCCGGAAGGUUAAUUGAUGGGGUCAGCGCAAGCGAAGCUCCUGAUCGAAGCCCCGGUAAACGGCGGCCGUAACUAUAACGGUCCUAAGGUAGCGAAAUUCCUUGUCGGGUAAGUUCCGACCUGCACGAAUGGCGUAAUGAUGGCCAGGCUGUCUCCACCCGAGACUCAGUGAAAUUGAACUCGCUGUGAAGAUGCAGUGUACCCGCGGCAAGACGGAAAGACCCCGUGAACCUUUACUAUAGCUUGACACUGAACAUUGAGCCUUGAUGUGUAGGAUAGGUGGGAGGCUUUGAAGUGUGGACGCCAGUCUGCAUGGAGCCGACCUUGAAAUACCACCCUUUAAUGUUUGAUGUUCUAACGUGGACCCGUUACCCGGGUUGCGGACAGUGUCUGGUGGGUAGUUUGACUGGGGCGGUCUCCUCCUAAAGAGUAACGGAGGAGCACGAAGGUUGGCUAAUCCUGGUCGGACAUCAGGAGGUUAGUGCAAUGGCAUAAGCCAGCUUGACUGCGAGCGUGACGGCGCGAGCAGGUGCGAAAGCAGGUCAUAGUGAUCCGGUGGUUCUGAAUGGAAGGGCCAUCGCUCAACGGAUAAAAGGUACUCCGGGGAUAACAGGCUGAUACCGCCCAAGAGUUCAUAUCGACGGCGGUGUUUGGCACCUCGAUGUCGGCUCAUCACAUCCUGGGGCUGAAGUAGGUCCCAAGGGUAUGGCUGUUCGCCAUUUAAAGUGGUACGCGAGCUGGGUUUAGAACGUCGUGAGACAGUUCGGUCCCUAUCUGCCGUGGGCGCUGGAGAACUGAGGGGGGCUGCUCCUAGUACGAGAGGACCGGAGUGGACGCAUCACUGGUGUUCGGGUUGUCAUGCCAAUGGCACUGCCCGGUAGCUAAAUGCGGAAGAGAUAAGUGCUGAAAGCAUCUAAGCACGAAACUUGCCCCGAGAUGAGUUCUCCCUGAGACUUUAGGUCUCCUGAAGGAACGUUGAAGACGACGACGUUGAUAGGCCGGGUGUGUAAGCGCAGCGAUGCGUUGAGCUAACCGGUACUAAUGAACCGUGAGGCUUAACCUUACAACGCCG
rnacentral:rRNA from 1 species